rnacentral:rRNA from 1 species
UGCUACUUUGCCGGCGAGCGGCGGACGGGUGAGUAAUGUCUGGGAAACUGCCUGAUGGAGGGGGAUAACUACUGGAAACGGUAGCUAAUACCGCAUGACCUCGAAAGAGCAAAGUGGGGGAUCUUCGGACCUCACGCCAUCGGAUGUGCCCAGAUGGGAUUAGCUAGUAGGUGAGGUAAUGGCUCACCUAGGCGACGAUCCCUAGCUGGUCUGAGAGGAUGACCAGCCACACUGGAACUGAGACACGGUCCAGACUCCUACGGGAGGCAGCAGUGGGGAAUAUUGCACAAUGGGCGCAAGCCUGAUGCAGCCAUGCCGCGUGUGUGAAGAAGGCCUUAGGGUUGUAAAGCACUUUCAGCGAGGAGGAAGGCAUCACACUUAAUACGUGUGGUGAUUGACGUUACUCGCAGAAGAAGCACCGGCUAACUCCGUGCCAGCAGCCGCGGUAAUACGGAGGGUGCAAGCGUUAAUCGGAAUUACUGGGCGUAAAGCGCACGCAGGCGGUUUGUUAAGUCAGAUGUGAAAUCCCCGCGCUUAACGUGGGAACUGCAUUUGAAACUGGCAAGCUAGAGUCUUGUAGA